rnacentral:rRNA from 1 species
GAUGAACGCUGGCGGCGUGCCUAAUACAUGCAAGUCGAGCGAAUGGAUUAAGAGCUUGCUCUUAUGAAGUUAGCGGCGGACGGGUGAGUAACACGUGGGUAACCUGCCCAUAAGACUGGGAUAACUCCGGGAAACCGGGGCUAAUACCGGAUAACAUUUUGAACCGCAUGGUUCGAAAUUGAAAGGCGGCUUCGGCUGUCACUUAUGGAUGGACCCGCGUCGCAUUAGCUAGUUGGUGAGGUAACGGCUCACCAAGGCAACGAUGCGUAGCCGACCUGAGAGGGUGAGCGGCCACACUGGGACUGAGAAACGGCCCAGACUCCUACGGGAGGCAGCAGUAGGGCAUCUUCCGCAAUGGACGAAAGUCUGACGGAGCAACGCCGCGUGAGUGAUGAAGGCUUUCGGGUCGUAAAACUCUGUUGUUAGGGAAGAACAAGUGCUAGUUGAAUAAGCUGGCACCUUGACGGUACCUAACCAGAAAGCCACGGCUAACUACGUGCCAGCCGCCGCAGUAA